rnacentral:rRNA from 1 species
AGAGUCUGAUCCUGGCUCAGGAUGAACGCUGGCGGCGUGCUUAACACAUGCAAGUCGAGCGAAGCACUUUUGCGGAUUUCUUCGGAUUGAAGCAAUUGUGACUGAGCGGCGGACGGGUGAGUAACGCGUGGGUAACCUGCCUCAUACAGGGGGAUAACAGUUGGAAACGGCUGCUAAUACCGCAUAAGCGCACAGUACCGCAUGGUACCGUGUGAAAAACUCCGGUGGUAUGAGAUGGACCCGCGUCUGAUUAGCUAGUUGGUGGGGUAACGGCCUACCAAGGCGACGAUCAGUAGCCGACCUGAGAGGGUGACCGGCCACAUUGGGACUGAGACACGGCCCAAACUCCUACGGGAGGCAGCAGUGGGGAAUAUUGCACAAUGGGGGAAACCCUGAUGCAGCGACGCCGCGUGAGCGAUGAAGUAUUUCGGUAUGUAAAGCUCUAUCAGCAGGGAAGAAAAUGACGGUACCUGACUAAGAAGCCCCGGCUAACUACGUGCCAGCAGCCGCGGUAAUACGUAGGGGGCAAGCGUUAUCCGGAUUUACUGGGUGUAAAGGGAGCGUAGACGGCAUGGCAAGCCAGAUGUGAAAGCCCGGGGCUCAACCCCGGGACUGCAUUUGGAACUGUCAGGCUAGAGUGUCGGAGAGGAAAGCGGAAUUCCUAGUGUAGCGGUGAAAUGCGUAGAUAUUAGGAGGAACACCAGUGGCGAAGGCGGCUUUCUGGACGAUGACUGACGUUGAGGCUCGAAAGCGUGGGGAGCAAACAGGAUUAGAUACCCUGGUAGUCCACGCCGUAAACGAU